UUUCCGUAGGUGAACCUGCGGAAGGAUCAUUCACAAUAAGUGUUUUAUGGCACUUUUUAAAACCUCAAACUCCACCUUUUGUGUAACUUUAUGAGACCCUCUAUCCUUAUCUUUUAUGUUAAGGAAUGGGGAACCUCCUCAACUUACCAACAACACCUUUAACUUAUUUGUCUGAACAUUUUUUAUCACUAAUUAACUUCAUUCGCAAAUACAACUUUCAACAACGGAUCUCUUGGAUCUC
rnacentral:misc_RNA from 1 species